rnacentral:rRNA from 1 species
AGCUAAUCUAUCCUUAAGUCAAGAAUACCCUCGGGAAACUGAGGAUAAAACUUGAUAGGAGAUUUACCCUGGAAAGAUUUAUCUCCCAAACUCGUGCUUAAGGAUGAGGCUGCGGCGGAUUAGGUUGUUGGCGGGGUAAUAGCCCACCAAGCCGAUGAUCCGUAAGGGCUCUUAGCGGAGGAGCCCUGAGAGGGAAUCUGAGACACUAUUCCCAGCCCUACGGGGUGCAGCAGGUAAGAAUCUUCUACAAUGCACGCAAGUGUGAUAGAGUGAGUCAGAGUGAUUUUCUUUAUGAAAAUCUUUUGUGAAAUGUAAAAAGUUUCACGAAUAAGGACUGGGUAAGACUAGUGCCAGCCGCCGCGGUAAUCCUAGCGGUCCAAGUCGCAGCCAUCAUUAUUGGGUAUAAAACAUCCGUAGCUUGCAUUUUGAGUUUCCUGUGAAAUUUUGUAUCUUAAGUACAGAGCGUGCAGGAAGUACUAUUAUGCUAGAGACUGGAAGACGUAAGAAGUACGAUGGAGGUAGUGGUAAAAUACGUUAAUCUUCGUCGGACUCACAACAGCGAAGGCAUCUUACGAGGACAGUUCUGACAGUGAGGGAUGAAGGCUAGGGGCGCAAAAAGGAUUAGAUACCCUUGUAGUCCUAGCAGUAAACACUGCACACUAAACAUUAGUACCUCCUCGAGAGGUAUUGGUGCUGAAGAGAAGUCGAAGAGUGUGCUACCUGGGAAGUAUAGCCGCAAGGCCGAGACUUAA